CAGGCCUACAGCUCUCAGUCCCCAUGUAGUAACACAUCCUUUGCAUCCUUACCACCUGCGUGUGUGCCGUAUACCAAACCAGGAAGUCACACUUUUCUGUCCGUAGAAUCCUCUGCGUGAUUUACAGAACAUCACUGAGCGCAUUUUAAGAGAAUUCAGUGCCGGAAAAUCAUUUUCAGUGAAUCUUUUAUUAAUCUACACGUGCCAAAUCAUAUCUGCAGGGGAAAAAACAAAAUUCUAAAAGAAGCCCAAACAAAAAUAAUACAACAAUUAUUGCUUGAAAAUUCUGAUUGCCUAUAAAUUAUAAGUCUAUUCAGCUCUGUGACAAUUUAUGUUUUCAUUUAUGAAACCAUUCUUGUUAUUAACUUUCAAUCUUGUUUACUGAGAGAAGUAGGAAUACACCAAGCAGGCAAAUCAUUUUAAACCACGUCCUGAAAACCUAGGGUUAUGGCGUAAGGGACACAUUUAUUACCACUGUUUUAGAGCACAUGAUAAGUUUAAAAUGGGGCCCUAUUUCAAACAGCAGGGGUUGGUUAGGACAAGGCAACUUACCAUGACCGCAGUUUCAAUGUAAAAGUGUCAAUGUGCUUGGUAUAUUCAUAAUGUGUUUAUUCUCAUUACAGUUUUCAAUUUGUCAGUGUUUUACUGGCAUGCAACCACAGAGCACAGACAGCUAUUGCUGGUUAACCUUGUUAUUGCAGACAAGUUACAAGUCCUGACAAGAGUCUGAUAACUGUGCCUACUUAUUUUAAGCCAUGCAUGAGGAAAGGGUAGGAGGUUCAAAGUAAGUUAUGCUUUCCUGUGUGAGUCCCCAUAUGAUCACUCAAAGUUACUGUAAAUAUAAAAGCAGAAGUGCCUGAUUGCCAUUUUGUCAUUAUGACAUUAGGCAAGAAGGUAAUCAAAAGACAGAAUCAAACAUGAGGCUGAAGUUGCACAAGUGUAAAACCCUGAAGCCUCAAUCCUCUAAAGCAAAUGUAUGGAUUUAGUCACCUGUGCAGGUUUUUGCAGGAUGGAGGACUCAUUCACAUGCAAAUAAUCUGUCCUGGAAUCUAUAUCCCAGAAGAAACAGUGACCAAACAGGUAAAGAGUGGAAAUUGCUAUUUCUUAUGGAAAAAAUAUGCUUUUCUCCUCCUCCACCUCCUUUUCCUCUUGACACAUUUACCACUUACUCAUCUGUCUCAGUACCUUGUUGUAUCCUGAUGUAAACUUGUAAACUUGCUGGGUCAGAAUAAUCUCUUUUCCUAUUAAUUUAACAAAACCAAAGCAACUUGUAAAAAAGCCCAUGAUCUAGCUCUGAUCUUUGAUUGAGGCCACAUAUCACUGCUGGAAUGUAAAUAUGAUCUUACUAGUUGACCAAAUGCUCCACAGCAGUUAAAUAAUAAAUAUACAGUCGUGGAGGAAAAAAAGAAAAAAAAAAGUUUAGGCAAUUCCUGGGUGCAAUUUCACAGAUCAUGGUAAAUCAGAUAACACUCUUACAGCUUCCUGAAAAGAGACACAUAAAUAAAAUCUUUUUAAUAUUCAGAGACAUGGGCCAUGCGCUGUUCUUUAAAAGUGAGGAUCAUGGAUGUACAGCCUUACAAUUAAGGACUCAUUUUCUAUUUACAUUUUGCCAUCUAAAUUAGGAAGCCACCAAGGACUGCUAGGAAAAAAAAAAAUAAAAGUAUAAGAAAAAAAAGUCAUCAAUCUCUAACAAGCAUCUGCCAGUGACCAUUUGCACAUAACUUCUGAUUGUUGUCCUGCUGUGGAGAGAAGUGGUGCUGUCCUGUGUAUACCCUUGGUUUCAGCAGAACUUCCUCGUCAUUAAGGUCUAUUAGAGUUCAUUAGUGUCCUACAACAUGAGCAGCCAACAUAUGAGAGAUGGAGCAGAGAGAGCCAGGACUCUGCUCCCAAACAGCAUCUGACACUGCUUGGAAAUCCUGCUUCUUCCAUCUAGGAACAUGAUGCCUCUGGAAAGGCAGUAUCUUACACAUAUAGCAUUCUUUCAGUGAAGGCCAAUUUUACCAGAAAAUUUAAAAAAAAAAAAAAAAAAAAGCUAAACUCAGACAGCUGUGAAGCUGCUGUAAAAUUAAAAUUAAGAAAAUCCUUUUCUCAUUCAUCUUUUAAUGUUCCUUCAAAUUAGAUGGAGAGGAGAGAUAGUUACUUGCUUCACCCUCACCCUUCUCCACCCUAUCAUUUAACCACAAAAAAGACUGAUUUAUAACAAGAGUAACUUCUGUACUAUCAGACAUCUACAAGUUUUUCAGUCUGCAAUUUUACUUCACAUGGAUAGAUCCUGCAGACUUAACAUGCUUCAAAAAGUAGAACCAUUUAAUGAACUACUACUAAUGUGACUGCACUUCUGAGGACAUGCAGUUCUUUCAAAUGUGUUUCCAAGUGAAAUAAUGUUUCUGAGAUUUAUUAUAACACAUAUAUUUUUUCCCCUGAAAAUUCAGGGCUCAACUAGUUGGAAAGCUGAGAGUGGUGUGUACAGACCUUGUUAGCUCUGGACUGGACCAUUUUCAAGAUACAUGGCUUUAAGUAGAACUGUGCUUAAAUUAUUCUUAAGUGUUUGAAAACUCUUUUUUGGUUUUUUGGCAUUUUUUUUUGAAAUCUGUUUUGAUCCAAGCUUGGUUUAAAGAAAAACCAAGACAAACUAAAUGCAAAACAGUCUAUUUCUGCAUUUGUUGUUUUGCAGUCCUACGAAUGUUUUGCAUUAGGAUACUCCAACUCAGAGUAGAAAUUUCCCACAUCAUUUCACAAGCUUCAAGAUGGAACACCUAUUCUUCUGAUAAAAUGUUUGUUUAGAGAAACCUCCCAAGCUCCUCAGUGAAGGUUUUGCCACCUUGGUAAAUAUUUAUAAAUGAGUCACAAGCCUCUGAACAAAAACUUUGUAUUGGAACCCUGGCUGAAGUGCUGAUAUUAGUACCCAUAUUCAUAUUUCACUUGCUGACCUUGUAUCUUCCACUUUUAUGGCAAAAUCAAGUGCUUGUCAUUAUUACAUUAAAUUUCUGUCUUAUAUUUCAAGCCACAUCUAAAUUCUACUCCUUGAGGUUCUUGAUGGUAUGCUUCCUUAUGAAUCAUAGAGUUGUCAGCACCAUGAGCCUUGGGUAAAGUUAACACACCUGAUGAAGCUAAACCAUAAGGGACUUUUUGUUGUGUCUGUGAGAGUGAAAUGGCACAUUUAAAUUACUUCUGUUUAUAUCCAGUGCACAAAAGAAACUUAUUUUUAUACUCCGACAUACCUCGGUAUCAGGAGCUGAAACAUCAAGAGUAAUAAGAAUAAAGGGGGUCACAGACAUUCCACCAAAACAAAUAUUCUUUUUUGUACAUGAGAUGCCAUGCCAAGGCUAAUCCCAUUUUUAGCUCUGUGGUGGACAGUCCAUAGGGACUGUGGUGUCUCUAUACAGCUGUUCUACAUAAGCAGCCCAUGUAACUCUCAUUGGGCCAGUAGAUUCACAUGCUAACACACUGUUUUGGAAAAACAUCAGACUUAGAUUAAUUGUUUGGGUGUUUGUUUUUUUUUUUUUUUUAAUUAAGUGCCAAGGAGAACCUAAGAAUUAUAUGAACUGUGUGAGGUCCAUCACCAAGGGAUUCCUGGCCACCAUUUCUGUCCAGUUAUUCGCAACCUCAAAAAGCCUGGCCGAGUUUUCUUAGCCAGUUUCAUCUCAGGAUCAAAACAGAGGUCAGACCAAUGAGGUUCUCUAAAAUUACGGGGGAAAAAAAAGGAAUAUAGUCUCAGUUGCAAUCCUUAUAUUGAUCUUCAUGAGAUCAUUCCAUCUACACCAACCACAACCCCCCUGAUGCAACUGGAGACCCAGAGAUGUCAGGCUGGUCACUUUCCAUGUCUCUGUAAAAGAAUGCUGGGGACAUGUAUCCCAUAAUUCUCACAACAUUGGAAAAUGAGCCUCCUACAGAAAUGGAGGGAAUGUGCUAGAAGGAAAAGACCUUUCUUUCAGGCAUGCAAAGUAAAACCACAGCAUACUACCUUGACCUUUUAAGUGUUGGAAUUAUAUACUUCCUGAUAUACAGCAGAACAAAACAAAACAAGCUUUAAAACAAAGAAAAACUUUUUUUUUCCCCCAAUGCUUUAGACUUGGAAAGAUGUGACAAACCCUAAAGUUGAGGGCAAACAAGACGAAGGAAUUAAUAGCUAAAUAAUUAACAUUCUUACUUAUUACAGUUAUAACAGCUGAUGGACUGAGGUCAGGCUGCUCAUGAAAAGAUCACAAAGAGGAAGUAUCAGAACGUGAAGAGAAAGGUCUGGCAGUCCUGCUGAGCAAGAUGAAAACACAAGAAGAGCUAGAAGACUCACAAAAACAAACAACCCCUCCCAACAGUUUUUUUGGUGGAUCUUUUUUUUUCUUUUUCCCAUUUCUCCAAACAAGAAGUUAGGAGAAGUGUUUGUAUAUUGAAGACAAUAUCCCUACAUUA